rnacentral:rRNA from 1 species
CAGCAGCCACGGGAACACGGAGGGUGCAAGCGUUAUCCGGAUUUAUUGGGUUUAAAGGUUCCGUAGGCGGACUUAUAAGUCAGUGGUGAAAGCCUGUCGCUUAACGAUAGAACUGCCAUUGAUACUGUAAGUCUUGAGUAUAUUUGAGGUAGCUGGAAUAAGUAGUGUAGCGGUGAAAUGCAUAGAUAUUACUUAGAACACCAAUUGCGAAGGCAGGUUACCAAGAUAUACUGACGCUGAGGGACGAAAGCGUGGGUAGCGAACAGGAUUAGAUACCCGCGUAGUCCCUGUCUCUUAUACA